rnacentral:rRNA from 1 species
GAUGAACGCUGGCGGCGUGCCUAAUACAUGCAAGUCGAGCGAACGGACGAGAAGCUUGCUUCUCUGAUGUUAGCGGCGGACGGGUGAGUAACGCGUGGAUAACCUACCUAUAAGACUGGGAUAACUUCGGGAAACCGGAGCUAAUACCGGAUGAUAUUUUGAACCGCAUGGUUCAAAAGUGAAAGACGGUCUUGCUGUCACUUAUAGAUGGAUCCGCGCUGCAUUAGCUAGUUGGUAAGGUAACGGCUUACCAAGGCAACGAUGCAUAGCCGACCUGAGAGGGUGAUCGGCCACCCUGGAACUGAGACACGGUCCAGACUCCUACGGGAGGCAGCAGUAGGGAAUCUUCCGCAAUGGGCGAAAGCCUGACGGAGCAACGCCGCGUGAGUGAUGAAGGUCUUCGGAUCGUAAAACUCUGUUAUUAGGGAAGAACAUAUGUGUAAGUAACUGUGCACAUCUUGACGGUACCUAAUCAGAAAGCCACGGCUAACUACGUG